GAGAAGCCUGGAUUUACAGGUCAUCAGUAUUUGCUAGAAGAAGGAGAAUACAGGGACUGGAAAGCCUGGGGAGGUUACAAUGGAGAGCUUCAGUCUUUACGACCUAUAUUAGGUGAUUUUUCAAAUGCUCACAUGAUAAUGUACAGUGAAAAAAACUUUGGAUCCAAAGGUUCCAGUAUUGAUGUAUUGGGAAUUGUUGCUAAUUUAAAGGAGACUGGAUAUGGAGUGAAGACACAGUCUAUUAAUGUACUGAGUGGAGUAUGGGUAGCCUAUGAAAAUCCUGACUUCACAGGAGAACAGUAUAUACUGGAUAAAGGAUUUUAUACCAGUUUUGAGGACUGGGGAGGCAAAAAUUGUAAGAUCUCUUCUGUUCAACCUAUAUGUUUGGUAAGGAGUUAUAUUUUUGUAUGAGAAUAUUUAACUGAAUUCUGGAUUUCCUUAAUGUGUGUUACUGGUUCAUGUAAUGGUAAUUGCUAUGGAAAAUAUUCUGAGUUUAUUUUUAGCAGUAAUUGCUAAUAAUCUAGAAGAAAAAACUUUUUCAAUGUGUUUGUUCUAUUCAUUUCCUUUUCUCCUUCCUUUAAAAAUUUUUAGGAUUCUUUCACUGGCCCAAGGAGACGAAAUCAGGUAACUUUAAAAAUAUUCUUUUAUAUUAAUAUAUGAGGGGCCUUCCAUUGAAAAGCUGAACUUAUGUUUCAAAUGUCAGAUAUUUGGGGCCGGGUGUG
rnacentral:sRNA from 1 species